UUGGACUACCAGGGUAUCUAAUCCUGUUCGCUCCCCACGCUUUCGUCCAUCAGCGUCAAUCCAUAAGUAGUAACCUGCCUUCGCAAUUGGUAUUCCAUGUAAUAUCUAAGCAUUUCACCGCUACACUACAUAUUCUAGUUACUUCCUUAUAAUUCAAGUCUAACAGUAUCAAUGGCCGUUUGAUCGUUGAGCGACCAGAUUUCACCACUGACUUAUUAAACCGCCUACGGACCCUUUAAACCCAAUGAUUCCGGAUAACGCUUGGAUCCUCCGUAUUACCGCGGCUGCUGGCAC
rnacentral:misc_RNA from 1 species